rnacentral:rRNA from 1 species
ACUCCUGCGGGAGGCAGCAGUGGGGAAUUUUGGACAAUGGGCGAAAGCCUGAUCCAGCAAUGCCGCGUGUGUGAAGAAGGCCUUCGGGUUGUAAAGCACUUUUGUCCGGAAAGAAAUCCUUGGCUCUAAUACAGUCGGGGGAUGACGGUACCGGAAGAAUAAGCACCGGCUAACUACGUGCCAGCAGCCGCGGUAAUACGUAGGGUGCGAGCGUUAAUCGGAAUUACUGGGCGUAAAGCGUGCGCAGGCGGUUUGCUAAGACCGAUGUGAAAUCCCCGGGCUCAACCUGGGAACUGCAUUGGUGACUGGCAGGCUAGAGUAUGGCAGAGGGGGGUAGAAUUCCACGUGUAGCAGUGAAAUGCGUAGAGAUGUGGAGGAAUACCGAUGGCGAAGGCAGCCCCCUGGGCCAAUACUGACGCUCAUGCACGAAAGCGUGGGGAGCAAACAGGAUUAGAAACCCGGGUAGUCCCAU